UUCGGGACGCCGGCGAGUGGCGAACGGGUGAGUAACACGUGGAGACCUGCCCUGAGGUGGGGGAUAACAGCUAGAAAUGGCUGCUAAUACCGCAUACGCCUUACGAGGGAAAGAUUUAUUGCCUCAGGAGGGUUCCGCGUCGGAUUAGCUUGUUGGUGGGGUAACGGCCUACCAAGGCGACGAUCCGUAGCUGGUCUUAGAGGAUGAUCAGCCACACUGGGACUGAGACACGGCCCAGACUCCUACGGGAGGCAGCAGUGGGGAAUAUUGCGCAAUGGAGGCAACUCUGACGCAGCGAUGCCGCGUGGGUGAAUAAGGCCUUAGGGUUGUAAAGCCCUUUCAGUGGGAAAGAUGAUGACGGUACCCACAGAAGAAGCCCCGGCUAACUCCGUGCCAGCAGCCGCGGUAAUACGGAGGGGGCGAGCGUUGUUCGGAAUUAUUGGGCGUAAAGAGCGCGUAGGCGGUUUAUUAAG
rnacentral:rRNA from 1 species